rnacentral:rRNA from 1 species
GUUAGGAAUAUUGGACAAUGGGCGAAAGCCUGAUCCAGCCAUGCCGCGUGAACGAUGAAGGCCUUCGGGUUGUAAAGUUCUUUAGCCGAUGAUUAUAAUGACUGUAGUCGGAAAAUAAGCCCCGGCUAACUUCGUGCCAGCAGCCGCGGUAAUACGAAGGGGGCGAGCGUUAUUCGGAAUCACUGGGCGUAAAGCGUGCGUAGGCGGUUUUGUAAGUUAGGAGUGAAAGCCCAGGGCUCAACCUUGGAAUUGCUCUUAAAACUGCAAGGCUCGAAUCUCGGAGAGGAUAGCGGAAUUUCCAGUGUAGCAGUGAAAUGCGUAGAUAUUGGGAGGAACACCAGUGGCGUAAGCGGCUAUCUGGACGAGUAUUGACGCUGAGGCACGAAAGCGUGGGGAUCAAACAGGAUUAGAAACCCCGGUAGUCC